AGAGCUGGGCGGGUUAAGGAGGAGGAUGGCGCCGUCCUGCAGAUGUGCGGGGACGCGCGCCCGCCGCAACGUGAGGCUCAUAGGCCACACGCAACUCUGAGCAUUGGCCAGGACCUGUAGUAGCCAACAGGACACUUAAUAACUGAUGUAUAGGUGCGCACUGUGUGUCCAGAGCUUUACGUUAACCACCUCACUGUGUCAUCUCGCUGAGGUUGUGUGGUUUACUAUUACUGCUAUUAGCGCAUUUUUAAGCGGGAAACCUGAGGCAUGAGGAGGGUGUGCUCGCCGUGGUUCCUAUAAAGCUGUAAGGGAGGCUACACAGCGUGCAGCGUUGUUGCUGAGGGAUCGCACACUUCCCGUAGAUUUUGUUGCUAGUUCUGGUGCACUAACGUGGAUGGACUGCUUGCUGUCUGUAGGGCCUGCCCACGGUCAGCGCUACAGAAUUCAGGCCCGGCGUAGCUACUUCCAACCCUUCAGAUCUUCACUUCCUGUUGGAACUGUCCUCUAGACUGUAGCCUCUGCCAGAAAUAAUUCAUUUUGAAUACCCUUGUAACACCCAAUUCCUUGAUCUCCUAUCAUUCCCCUGGCAGGGUCAGUCCUCGACCUUGUCCCCCCAAAUUGCUUCGUCUCUGAAUCCAGACUCUGAAGUUCGGCUCUGCCUACCACCUUAAGUUAUCCGAUGUGGCCUUACCGUCAGCCUAGUCUUUGACUACAGGAAGACCUCUCUUCCUGAAGAAGACGCCUCUUUUCAUCCAUUCACUCUGGAAAUGAUUCAACGUCUGCCUGCUGCUGAUGCUUUACUCUCCACCAGGGGUUUUCGAAGUGUGCUUCCCCAUUCCCCCUGGGCCUAUAGCAUCAGCAUCAGGGAACUUGUCAGUAACGCACAUUCUUGGGCCCCAACCCAGAACUACUGAAUCAGAAACUUGGGGUGAGGGCCUGUCGUGGUGGCUCAUGCCUGUAAUCCCAACACUUUGGGAAGCAGAGGAGGGUGGAUCACCUGAGGUCAGGAGUUGAGGACCAGCCUGGCUAACAUGGUGAAACCCCGUCUCUACUAAAAAUAGAAAAAUUAGCCAGAUGUGGUGGCGUGUGCCCAUAAUCCUAGCUACUCGGGAGACUGAGGCAGGAGACUCGCUUGAACCCAAGAGGCGGAGGUUGCAGUGAGCCAAGAUUGCACCACUGCACUCUAGCCUGGGCGACAGAGUGAGACUCCGUCUCAAAAAAAAAAAAAGAACUCAGGGUGAGGCCCAGCCGGCUGUGGUUUUAUGAGCUUUUCAGGGGAUACUGAUGCGGGAUCAAAUUUGAGAAGCACUGGUCUAGGUCUUAGAUCCUCUUGCUUCAGUUUCGUCAUUGGAUCUCAGGAAUGUUCAGCUGCCCUCUCAAGGCAACUUCUUACUUCACUUGACCUUCCAAGACCUCUCGUUCUGUCAAACCCCAAUUUUGGAUCAACCCAGGCAUGCUUCCCUCAUGUGUUCCAAAGCUGGUCAGAGUAGUCUACACCACUAUCUGCUUCAACUUCUAGUAACGUCUAAGCCUUCAGCAGUUUUGCUUAUGAAACUGCUUCACUGAAGUUCUCCACCACCAAGUAGUCAGCUGGCAUCGGAAUUCGGCUUGUGUCAAAUGGAACUCAACAUCUUCCUCUUCAGGACAUCCCCUAUUUUCAUCCUCCCAGUGAAUGACACCACCAAGUUAAAGCCUGGAGGCUGGGUGUAGUGGUUCAUGCCUGUAAUCCCAGUAGUUUAGGAAACCGAGGUGGGCAGAUGGCUUGCGCCCAGGUGUUUGAGAGCAGCCUGGCCAACAUGGCGAAACCCUGUCUCUACAAAAAAGUACUGCCAGGCGCGGUGGCUUACGCCUGUAAUCCCAGCACUUUGGGAGGCUAAGCAGGCAGAUCACCUCAGGUCAGGAGUUCAAGACCAGGCUGGGCCAACAUGGCAAAACCCCAUCUCUACUAAAAAUACAAAAAUUAGCCUGGUGUGGUGGCAUGUGUCUAGUCCCAGCUACUCGAGAGGCUGAGGCAGGGGAACUGCUUGAACCCAGGAGGCGGGGGUUGCACUGAACCUGUUGCGCCACUGCAUUCCAGCCUGGGUGGCAGAGCAAGACUCUUAUCUCAAAAACAACCAAACACAAAACAAAAAUUAGCUGGGUCUGGUGACAUGUGCUUAUAGUCCCAGCUACUUGGGGGGCUGAGGCAGGAGGAUUGCUUGAGCCUGGGAGGUUGAGGCUGCAGCAAUGAGCUGUGUUUGUGCCACUGCACUCUAGCCUGGACAACAAAAUGAGACCUUGUCUCAAAAAGAAAAAAAAAAAGCAGGGUGCAGUGGCUGACGCCUGUAAUCCCAGCACUUUGGGAGGCCGAGGCGGGCGGAUCAGAAGGUCAGGAGAUCGAGACCAUCCUGGCUAACAAGGUGAAACCCUAUCUUUACUAAAAAUACAAAAACUUAGUCGGGUGUGGUGGCACGCACCUGUAGUACCAACUACUCAGGAGGCUUAGGCUGGAGAAUCGCUUGAACCCAGGAGGUGGAGGUUGCAGUGAGCCGAGAUUGCGCCACUGCACUCCAGCCUGCCAGCCUGGGCAACAGAGCGAGAUUCUGUCUCAAAAAACAAAAACAAAAAAACCCAGAAUAACUCACCCCAAACUUCCAGGUUUUUUUUUUUUUUGAGACGGAGUCUUGCUGUCGCCCAGGCUGGAGUGCAGUGGUUAGAUCUCAGCUCACUGCAACCUCCGCUUCCUGGGUUCAAGUGAUUCUUCUGUCUCAGCCUCCUGAGUAGCUGGGAUUACAGGUGUGCGCCACCAUGCCUGGCUAAAUUUUGUAUUUUUAGUAGAGAUAGGGUUUCACCAUGUUGGUCAGGCUGGUCUCAAACUCCUGACCUCAGGUGAUCCACCCGCCUCGGCCUCCCAAAGUGCCAGGAUUACAGGCGUAAAACUCCCAUGCUGGGCUGGUCAAAGUGCUGGGAUUACAGGCAUAAGACAACGCACCUGGAACUUGGCUUGUGUCAAAUGGAACUCAACAUCUUCCCUUUUACUAAACCCCACCCAACAUUCACUGCGCACAAGUUGUCUUAUUCACUGGACUUCUAAUAUGUUUAAGGGGUCUGUCCCCAUUUAUUUUUUGAAACGGGGUCUUUCUGUGUUGCCCAGGCUGGAGUGCAGUGGUUGUUCACAGGUGCCAACCUACUAUUGAUCAGCAUGGGAGCUUUGGGGUUUUAAAACAAAUUUUUUAAGCCAGUCAUAUUUAGCAGUGGGGGGUUGUAUACCAACUUUAGUGACACUAAUGUUAUUAAAUUCUAAUAACCCACUACCAUCAGACCAGCCCAGCUUGGGAGUUUUGACCU
rnacentral:lncRNA from 1 species